GCAGUCGAGGGGCAGCGAGUAGAUUGCUUGCAAUCUACGUCGGCGACCGGCGCACGGGUGCGUAACGCGUAUGCAACCUACCCAUUACAGGGGGAUAACACUGAGAAAUCGGUACUAAUACCCCAUAACAUCCAGGGAGGCAUCUUCUUGGGUUGAAAACUCCGGUGGUAAUGGAUGGGCAUGCGUUGUAUUAGUUAGUUGGUGGGGUAACGGCUCACCAAGACGACGAUACAUAGGGGGACUGAGAGGUUAACCCCCCACAUUGGUACUGAGACACGGACCAAACUCCUACGGGAGGCAGCGGUGAGGAAUAUUGGUCAAUGGACGCAAGUCUGAACCAGCCAUGCCGCGUGCAGGAAGACGGCUCUAUGAGUUGUAAACUGCUUUUGUACGAGGGUAAACGCAGAUACGUGUAUCUGUCUGAAAGUAUCGUACGAAUAAGGAUCGGCUAACUCCGUGCCAGCAGCCGCGGUAAUACGGAGGAUUCAAGCGUUAUCCGGAUUUAUUGGGUUUAAAGGGUGCGUAGGCGGUCGGAUAAGUUAGAGGUGAAAUCCCGGGGCUCAACUUCGGAAUUGCCUCUGAUACUGUUCGGCUAGAGAGUAGUUGCGGUAGGCGGAAUGUAUGGUGUAGCGGUGAAAUGCUUAGAGAUCAUACAGAACACCGAUUGCGAAGGCAGCUUACCAAGCUACUUCUGACGUUGAGGCACGAAAGCGUGGGGAGCAAACAGGAUUAGAUACCCUGGUAGUCCACGCAGUAAACGAUGAUAACUCGUUGUCGGCGAUACAAUGUCGGUGACUAAGCGAAAGCGAUAAGUUAUCCACCUGGGGAGUACGUU
rnacentral:rRNA from 1 species